rnacentral:sRNA from 1 species
GACAACUAUCUGCCACACCAAUCCAGUGUCAGAAUGAAUCGGAAAAUAGUGAGCCGCAGAAGCAGGGAUGGAUCAGUAGAUUGCUCAAGGGACAAUCAAUGGAUCCAUCGAGUUGGCAGAAACAGUCACAUUCGUCGUUGCUCUCGAAUUCAGAGCUCAUGUACGAGUUCAUGAGUAAGUUUUUUAAAAAAUUGAGAAUUUAAAUUAUAGAAAAUGAACCGUAAUGAGCGAAAAUAAUUGUUUAAAAAAUUAUAAUGAUUUUCGGGAAAUCAAAAACGAUUUACCCGAUUAAACUUUUUUGCAAAAUUUAAAAAAUCGUGUAUUAUAUCUGGAAAAAGUGUGAAUUUUUCAAAAAUGACAUAUUUGGUCAUUACGAUUCAUUUUCUGUCAUUAAAUUUUUGAAAAAUGCUCUAAAUACUAAUUUUACUUAUAACAAUUUUAUUAUUAUUUUACAGUGUUUUUUAUUCUUCUUCUACGACUUCAAAGGCGCGCGCAUUUAUACGAAAUGGUCUCACCACGCGCCACCCAUUGAUUUUAAAAAAUGUCUUAAUGCGCCUUUGAAGUCAUAGAUGAAAAAUAAAAAAUAGACUGUAUAAAAUACUUAUUUGUGUCAUAUAUUUAACUUUUUAAAACAAUAUUUUUCAGCUCACAACUACCGCCCAGGAGAGCAGGAUGCAUAUUUAGAUGCUUUUGGAAAGUAUAAAAACGAAAUGAAUCAAAAGAAUCCAUCAAUUGAACUUGUUGGAUCAUGGACAUGUGCUUAUGGAAGAACUCGUGAUCAGGCAAUUCAUCUGUGGAGACAUAACAAAGGUUAUGAAGAUGUUGAUUCAUCGAUUUCUCUUCAUGGAAAAGAUUCUGGAAUCCGUGCAGCUGAUAAUGACGUUGCUAAACUGUGUGGUCGCCGCAAGAAUCUCAUAGUAAAAUCAUUCAGCUAUUGGAGAGAACCAGAACAACGACCACCAAAUCAUGUUUAUGAUCUUCGUUCAUAUGUUCUUCAACCUGGAACUAUGAUUGAUUGGGCAUCUGCAUGGGCAAAAGGAAUUCAAUACAGACGUGAGGCGAAUCAAGAUGUUGGAGGAUUCUUUGCUCAAGUUGGACAACUCUAUGUUGUCUAUCACAUUUGGGCUUAUCCAUCAAUGUCAGGCCGUAACGAUACGAGACAUGCUACUUGGGCAAAGCCAGGAUGGGAUGCAACUGUUGCGAAUACUGGUUAGUCUGAAAUUUGUCUUCUCGAAUAAUACAAAUGAAAAACAAAAAAUUGAGAAAAAUUAAACAAACUUUUUUGUCAAAUUUUAGAAAAAACCCGAAAUUUCUGACUUUCCCGCGGGAAACCGGAUUUUUGAUUAUUUUUUACACACUAAAAUCUAGAAAAUUUCGAUUUUUUCUUGUUUUUCCUAAUUUUCAAACAAAAUGCCAUAGGAUUUUGAAAUUUUCGCAACAAAAAACCGAAAAAAUAACCUAAAAAUCAGAUUUUCUGUUAUUUUUAACGGAAACAAAUAUUUAUUUUUUCAGUGCCUCUCAUCAAGAAGAUGCAAUCGAAAAUUUUGACUCCAACCAAAUAUUCUCAACUGGAAUAAACAUUUCUCAUGUUUGUCAUAAUUCACAAAUUGAGAAAUUGAAUAGGUUAAUAUAGAAGAAAUGCUU